GACGGAGGGUGCAAGCGUUGUUCGGAAUUACUGGGCGUAAAGGGCGCGUAGGCGGUCUGUUAAGUUCGGUGUGAAAGCCCCCGGCUCACCUGGGGAACUGCGCCGGAAACCGACAGACUCGAGUACCGGAGAGGAGGGUGGAAUUCCUGGUGUAGCGGUGAAAUGCGUAGAUAUCGGGAGGAACACCAAAGGCGAAAGCACUCUGCUGGGCCGCAACUGACACUGAGAGACGAAAGCGAGGGGAGCAAAUGGG
rnacentral:rRNA from 1 species